rnacentral:rRNA from 1 species
UACAUAGGGCUCAAGCGUUGUUCGGAUUCAUUGGGCGUAAAGGGUGCGUAGGCGGCGCGGUAAGUCGGGUGUGAAAUCUUGGAGCUUAACUCCGAAACUGCAUUCGAUACUGCCGUGCUUGAGGACUGGAGAGGAGACUGGAAUUUACGGUGUAGCGGUGAAAUGCGUAGAUAUCGUAAGGAAGACCAGUGGCGAAGGCGGGUCUCUGGAAAGUUCCUGACGCUGAGGCACGAAGGCCAGGGGAGCAAACGGG